UACGUAGGGAGCGAGCGUUGUCCGGAUUCAUUGGGCGUAAAGAGCGUGUAGGCGGUCCGGUAAGUCCGCUGUGAAAGUCGGGGGCUCAACCCUCGAAUGCCGGUGGAUACUGUCGGGCUAGAGUGCGGAAGAGGCGAGUGGAAUUCCUGGUGUAGCGGUGAAAUGCGCAGAUAUCAGGAGGAACACCUAUUGCGAAGGCAGCUCGCUGGGACGUAACUGACGCUGAGACGCGAAAGCGUGGGGAGCAAACAGG
rnacentral:rRNA from 1 species